GACGAACGCUGGCGGCGUGCUUAACACAUGCAAGUCGAACGAAGUGGCGAACGGGUGAGUAACGCGUAAACAACCUGCCCUUCAGAGGGGGACAACAGUUGGAAACGACUACUAAUACCGCAUACUGAAGGAGGGGAUGGCGUCCGAUGAGCUAGUUGGGGGGGUAACGGCCCACCAAGGCGAGGAUCAGUAGGCGGUCUGAGAGGGUGAACGGCCACAUUGGGACGGAGACACGGCCCAGACUCCUACGGGGGGCAGCAGGGGGGAACCUUCCGGAAUGGAGUAAAGUCUGACGGGGCAACGCCGCGGGAGUGAUUACGGCCUUCGGGUUGUAAAGCUCUGUUAAUCGGGACGCGGUACCGGAAUAGAAAGCCACGGCUAACUACGUGCCAGCAGCCGCGGUAAUUC
rnacentral:rRNA from 1 species